rnacentral:lncRNA from 1 species
AUUCCAGGUGGAUUUUAGAGCAGGAUGUUCCCAGCUCCAAAUUCCAGGUGGAUUUUAGAGCAGGAUGUUCCCAGCUCCACAAUCAGGUGGAUGUUGGACAGGAUUUCAACCCAGCUCCAAAUUCCAGGUGGAUGUUGGACAGGAUUUCAGCCCAGCUUUAAAUUCCAGGUGGAUGUUGGAGCAGGAUGGUCCCAGCUCCACAAUCA